AGAGUUUGAUCCUGGCUCAGAACGAACGCUGGCGGCAGGCCUAACACAUGCAAGUCGAACGCUCGUAGCAAUACGAGAGUGGCAGACGGGUGAGUAACACGUGGGAACCUUCCCUUUGGUUCGGAAUAGCUCAGGGAAACUUGGGGUAAUACCGGAUAAGCCCUUACGGGGAAAGAUUUAUCGCCGAAGGAUGGGCCCGCGUCGGAUUAGCUAGUUGGUGGGGUAACGGCCUACCAAGGCGACGAUCCGUAGCUGGUCUGAGAGGAUGAUCAGCCACACUGGGACUGAGACACGGCCCAGACUCCUACGGGAGGCAGCAGUGGGGAAUAUUGGACAAUGGGCGCAAGCCUGAUCCAGCCAUGCCGCGUGAGUGACGAAGGUCUUCGGAUUGUAAAACUCUUUUGGCGGGGACGAUAAUGACGGUACCCGCAGAAUAAGCCCCGGCUAACUUCGUGCCAGCAGCCGCGGUAAUACGAAGGGGGCUAGCGUUGUUCGGAAUCACUGGGCGUAAAGCGCACGUAGGCGGAUGUGUCAGUCAGGGGGUGAAAUCCCGGAGCUCAACUCCGGAACUGCCUCUGAUACAGCACGUCUUGAGUUCGAGAGAGGUGGGUGGAAUUCCUAGUGUAGAGGUGAAAUUCGUANAUAUUAGGAAGAACACCGGUGGCGAAGGCGGCCCACUGGCUCGAUACUGACGCUGAGGUGCGAAAGCGUGGGGAGCAAACAG
rnacentral:rRNA from 1 species